rnacentral:rRNA from 1 species
UACGUAGGGUGCAAGCGUUGUCCGGAAUUAUUGGGCGUAAAGAGCUCGUAGGCGGUCCGUCACGUCGGCUGUGAAAACCUGGGGCUCAACCCCGGGCCUGCAGCCGAUACGGGCGGACUAGAAUUCGGUAGGGGAGACUGGAAUUCCUGGUGUAGCGGUGAAAAUGCGCAGAUAUCAGGAGGAACACCGGUGGCGAAGGCGGGGUCUCUGGGCCGAUAUUGACGCUGAGGAGCGAAAAGCGUGGGGGAGCGAACAGG